rnacentral:rRNA from 1 species
AUGAUAUUUCGAAACAUGUCAGCUUCCGGUUCUCGUGGCCUCGAGAUCGAGCCACUUACUGGGAAUAACUUCCAAUCAUGGAAGGACUCGUUUCUUUUGCACCUCGGAUGGCAUGAGGUUGACCUCGCACUGAGGGAAAGUAAACCAGUGGAACCUGCAAAGGGUGCCACUGGGUAUGCUGAGCUUAAGAAAGAUUAUGAUACUAAAGUUGAGAAGUGGGAGAGGUCAAACAUAAUGGCGCUCCUAAUUAUGAACUUCUCCAUCUCGACUGAGAUUAAAGGGGCUAUUCCUGCCAAUGAAAGUGCCGCCGAAUAUUUGAAAUCGGUGGAAGAACAAUUUAAGGGCUCCGAGAAAGUGUAUGCAGAUGAGCUUUUGCACAAGCUGCUUGCAAAAUAUGACGGGCAUGGAAAUGUGAGGGAGCACAUCUUAAGUAUGAGCAAUGCCGCGGCAAAGCUUAAAACCAUGAAGUGUGACUUGAACGAAGAGCUUCUGGUGCUCCUAGUUUUUAGGUCACUACCCUCACAAUUCAAUCCAUUCAAGAUAAACUAUAACUCUCUUGAAACCAAAUGGAAACUAUCUGAACUCAUUGCACAUUGCGUUCAGGAGGAAGAGAGAAUGAAGAGUGAGCAGAAAGAUCAAGCUCUCCUUGUUAACUCUGCAAAGAGGAAGCAUGAGAACCAUGCUGAUAACAAUAAUGUGCCCAACAAAAAGUAG